UUUAGUUCCUCUUGAAGUAAAUUUUCUUUCCUUUAUCUUUCCUAGAGAGAAAAUGAAUUCUUCUUCUUCUGUAAUUAACAGCCGCCGCGACAUAAUUCCAUAUCUGCCCCAAUCAACAUAGCGGCUCAUGAAGAAAACCAAAAAUCAAGUCAUCCAAUGCAGAAUGUCUCGAGGACAACAAAUUCUAGGUGGGAUCGACCUCUGUUUCUCGUGGCUGAUAGUCGCUCCAAGAGUUGUUUAGAGUCUACAGGGUGAGCAUGAGAUGUUCGCCUCCUUGAAGAUUCUUCUUUAUUUAUGUUUUAUUUUCUAUUCCGAGACAUGUUCAAACUUGAUCUAUUAUUGAUAUUCCAGACUUGUAUAUUCUAGUUAGAUGCUCUUAUAUGGAUUAGACCAGACUCUGGGGUGUAUUUUCCUUACUUCCGCAUUUUUUCUAUAUUAUUA